ensembl:lncRNA
AGAUUAUGUAAAAAAAAUACCAUUUAAAAAUUACAACGACAGUGAUAAUGCCUUUAUAUCACCUAGUAUGUGUGAAGAACUGUCCACGUACGUGAAUUUAAAAAGUAUGUUAAAUUUUGCUAAAAAAAAACAAAGUGAAAAUAGUAUCAAGGAAGAUAUGGAAAAUAUCAAACAGAGGGACAAAAAGAAGGACAACAUGGUAAAUGAUAAAACUAUUGCAAACUUUACUCACACUUUAUAUAAUACUACAUGCGAAAUGCAAACUGAAAAUAAUCAUCUAUUACCUAUAUCAACAAAUGAUAUACAAUUUAACGAUACUAUAAUACCAUAUGCACAAGAUAUAGAUAAAACAAGUAGUGCAAAUAAUAACAAAUGUAAUUUCUUGAUAAGUGAAUUUGAAAAAUAUGUAGAUUUAAAUAUAAAUAACAAACUCCAUCAUAAUAAUUAUAAUUAUUGUUCAAGUUCACAAAAUGAAGACGAAGAAAGUUCCAAUAUGUCAGACUUUUCUUUUAUCUUUGAUAAUAAUAUAAAUGAUGAAUUGAGCAUCAAAAAUAGUGAACAUAAUAUAUAUGCAGAAGGGAUAAAUAAAAAAAAAAACGAAUCUUCUAUUAUUUCGCCUUGUACAUAUGCAAAAAGCAAACAAAGCGGUGCAGAUGGCAAUGGUAGCAACAGACAUAUCAACAGACAUAUCAACAAACAUAGCAACAAACAUAGCAACAAACAUAGCAACAAACAUAGCGAAUGGGAUAAUGGCAAAAUUAGCGAUAACAGUAGUGACAACCAUGGGAAUAACAAUAGCGGUCGUGACCAUGUCGAAUGUCACGAAAAAUACAACUACAUCAACAACUUAUCUUUAUACAAUGUAAUCAAAUACUUAAUUCUUAGUGCAGGGAUAAAUGGUAUGACAACAAAAGAAAUAUCAAUUUUUUUACAGCUUUCAAUAAAAAAAACAAAUAUAUUUCUUCAAAAACUUGUAAAAAAUAAUGAUGUUAUUAAAAUACCUGAAAGGAAAGAUAAAAAUUUCAUGUACAGAUUUAUUCAUAACUUUAUUUAUCAGUAUGUACAAAAAAAAAAAUAUAUUAAUUUUGUAUCACCUAAAGUAAAUUCACAGAAUGAUAAAAUAGAACAUAACAACUUGAGUAACAAAAAAAUGCAAGAAUAUAGCAAAUAUAUUGAUCAUAACGAACUGGAUGUAACUACGAUACAAAAACCAAAUACAAUAGGUAUUAAAAAAAGUGCCCUUUCAAAAAAUUAUAAUAUAGAAAAUCGAAAUGGCACUAACAUAAAUAAUGAUGUUAAUACUCGUGGCAGUAUCGGUGGUAGUAAUAGUAACACACAACUUCUAAAACAGAACAACCCAAACGAAUUGUUAGAUGCAAAAAAAGAUGAGCUGCUAGUUACUUCGACUGUUGUAAAUACAAACGUGAUUCCUAUAGAAUUUAGCAAUCUCAACGAAUCAAUAAAUUUACUUAAUUAUAUAAAUACUAUGAACAAAAUAAAUAUAGAUGUUUUAAUUUAUGUUAUACCUACAUAUAAAGAUUGUUGUUAUAACUUCACGAAUUUUAAAGAUUUUUUUAACCAUUAUGUAAAUAGAAUUAAAUAUUUUGAUAGCAAAUACGACUUUUAUACAUGUAGUUUUCAUUUUUUUUAUUAUUUAAAAUUUAUACAAAAACAAUUAAAAAAAAGAAAAGAUUUGUUAUACGAUGGAAAUUCGAGCUAUGAUAUAUCAAAAGAAGAAAAAUUAUAUGAACAACAAAAAGAAGAAAUAAAUAAAAUAGUUAAAAAAGAGUUUCA